AGCGUAUUAGCUCAAAUGGUAGAGUAAUGUGCAGUUGCACAUGGAUGUAGGUUCAAGUCCUACAUGUGCUA
rfam:Beta vulgaris subsp. vulgaris Bvchr2_un.sca008.con0054.1, whole genome shotgun sequence.